rnacentral:lncRNA from 1 species
CCAAGUGCAUAACUAAUAUUACACCACAUGAUAACAACAAUAUUGUCCAAGUGCAUAACUAAUAUUACACCACAUUAAAAGUAUCAAUAUCUUCAACCUUGAGAAAAUUUUUGAAGCCAAAUUUUUCUAUGCUUCUUACUUUUAACUAAAAAAGCUUUGGCCUCAGAUUUAUGACUCACUAAAUAAUCAAACACAGAACAAAGGAAGUCAUCAUCAAAUCCUUCUACCUCCAUUGACAUCACUUCUUCGUAAAGAUGUGGUGUCUUAUCCACAGUAAAUUGUUCCAAAGCAUUAGCAAUUUUGCCAAGUUGUUCACC